AGAGACAGCUAGCGCGGUGGUCCCACCUGACCCCAUGCCGAACUCAGAAGUGAAACGCCGUAGCGCCGAUGGUAGUGUGGGGUCUCCCCAUGCGAGAGUAGGGAACUGCCAGGC
rnacentral:rRNA from 1 species